GGCGGACGGGUGAGUAAUGCUUAGGAAUUUGCCCAGUCGAGGGGGACAACAGUUGGAAACGACUGCUAAUACCGCAUACGCCCUUCGGGGGAAAGCAGGGGACCUUCGGGCCUUGCGCGAUUGGAUAAGCCUAAGUGAGAUUAGCUAGUUGGUGAGGUAAUGGCUCACCAAGGCGACGAUCUCUAGCUGGUCUGAGAGGAUGAUCAGCCACACUGGAACUGAGACACGGUCCAGACUCCUACGGGAGGCAGCAGUGGGGAAUAUUGCACAAUGGGCGAAAGCCUGAUGCAGCCAUGCCGCGUGUAUGAAGAAGGCCUUCGGGUUGUAAAGUACUUUCAGCAGUGAGGAAGGGUGUGUAGUUAAUAGCUGCAUAUCUUGACGUUAGCUGCAGAAGAAGCACCGGCUAACUCCGUGCCAGCAGCCGCGGUAAUACGGAGGGUGCGAGCGUUAAUCGGAAUUACUGGGCGUAAAGCGCAUGCAGGUGGUUUGUUAAGUCAGAUGUGAAAGCCCGGGGCUCAACCUCGGAAUUGCAUUUGAAACUGGCAGGCUAGAGUACUGUAGAGGGGGGUAGAAUUUCAGGUGUAGCGGUGAAAUGCGUANAGAUCUGAAGGAAUACCAGUGGCGAAGGCGGCCCCCUGGNACAGAUACUGACACUCAGAUGCGAAAGCGUGGGGAGCAAACAGGANUAGAUACCCUGGNAGUCCACGCCGUAAACGAUGUCUACUU
rnacentral:rRNA from 1 species